CGGAGCUCCCUCUCUUCAUUCACUCUAUAGAUUGCAUUUUUCAUCAUUUUAAAUAAAGUAAAUUAUGGUUACAUUUAAUUUCUUAACAACAUUCCACCAGGAGCUACAGAACACGGUGGUGAUAACGGCGACUCAACAUUGAUUUCUGAGGGGAAAAGCUCCACAAGUUGACUUCAUGUGUCUGUGUUGAGCCAUGUUAUGUGAAAACUAGCAGGGUGACACAUACACACGUGGACAGAAUUGUUGGUACCCUUCCGUCAAAGAAAGAAAAACCCACAAUGGUCACUGAAAUAACUUGAAACUGACAAAAGUAAUAAUAAA